AGGUUUUCUUUGUCGCGGAUCAUCAGGAGUAUUCUCCACCAUCUUUAUCUCUACAUCAGGACUAAUAAGCUGCAAAACCACACCCAUGAAGGACAUUAAUGAUUACAUGAGACCGAGAACCCUCUUUUCGCUAUACAGCUAUAUCAAAACUCAACUCAGAAGAUUGGUAUCAAGCUGUAUAAUGCUGUGUGGUGUAGCUACAGAUUUUCAUUAUUCAUGCAUCUCAUUCUGAUCAAAGAAUAAUGUAGGACCAGAUGGACAACAAAAAUUGAUACUAACCUCCUUUACAGUGUCGGCAAGUUCAAUCAUGGUAAAUUCCCCUGGAAGGAUAGUGAAGAAGAGAAAGAUAAAGUAAUUUUGUGAGAUAAGGAUGGUGUGAGGACCUAACUCAUGAGUCCAAGCAUUGUAGUCUUUUGUGAACAUUAAGUUAAGAAGGAUAACCUGGAUUUCCAAUGUUGAUUGGACCAGUGUUCUGUCCUUGCAUAAGUCGAAUAAGGCCAUCAACCUGAUACAUUUUUUAAGAAAAUGAUUAGCUAGACUUAAUAAGAACUUGUCACAUGAUCAUCACCUGGGAUAUUAAGCAAAUAAAUGUAACAUACAUUUUACUUACCAUGUCAGAGACAUAACAGAAACUGCGAGUUUGAGUUCCAGGUUUUUGGACUGUCAAUGAUUCACCACUAUAAAGUACAAAAUAUAUGUGUAAAUUGA